rnacentral:misc_RNA from 1 species
UCUCCGUUGGUGAACUAGCGGAGGGAUAAUUACAGAGUUAUCUAACGCCCAAACCCAUAUGAACUUACCAUUUGUUGCCUCGGCAGCGCCUACCCGGUAACUGUUCGGAGAAGCUACCCUGUAGCUACCCUGUAACGGCCUACCCUGUAACGCACUGCUGGUGGACUUUUAAACUCUUGUUAUUUUAUAGUAAUCUGAGCGUCUUAUUUUAAUAAGUCAAAACUUUCAACAACGGAUCUCUUGGUUCUGGCAUCGAUGAAGAACGCAGC